rnacentral:tRNA from 1 species
GGUCCCUUCGUCUAACGGUUAGGACACUUGGUUUUCAUCCAAGAAAUAGGAGUUCGAUUCUCCUAGGGACUACAA